GCUUACUUGCCGAGUUGCUGGUUCAGCCGAAAGGCUUAGGUUCUGUUUUCGGGCAAUAUGGCAACAGAAGAGAGACCGAUUCCUGUUCGUUAUUUGCCGAAAGAUGAAGCCGUCAGUCUGGAUGGAAAGUUGCAAAAUCCCUCGAACUCGCGAAAAGAACAUCAGCUGCAGCAGCAGCAAAAUGACUCGACACAAUGCACCCCGAUGAAAAUCUUGAAGAUAUCUCUACCGAUCAUCGCGUUGAUGUUGUUCGCUGUUCCUGUUAUCACUUUCUUCGUUUUUAGGCACAUAGACAGGAUCCCAGAAUAUGGGCAUAAAAGCACUAUGCUCCCCGAUUUGGAUAAUCUUACCCUGGUUGAUAUCG